AAUUUAAGCACAAUUGUGAAUUCCAACAUUUCCUCUUUAAUUGCAGCUGAAACAUCAUGCAAAAAUGAACUUAUCAGAAGCACCAACAUGGGCGGCACGGUGGCGCGGUGGGUAGCACCUCCGCCUCACAGCAAGACGGCCUGGGUUCGAUUCCCGGCUGGGGCGACCCGGGUCUUUCUGUGUGGAGUUUGCACGUUCUCCCCGUGUCUGCGUGUCUGCGUGGGUUUCCUCCGGGUUCUCCAGUUUCCUCCCACAGUCCAAAGACGGCACGUUUAGGCUAAUUGGAACUUGAUUGAAAUUGCCCCUUAGGUGUGAGUGUGUGAGUGUGUGAGUGAAUGUGUCUGUGUGUCUGUCUGUGUCUGUCUGCCCUGCGAUGGAUUGGCGGCCUGUCCAGGGUGUAUCCUGCCUUCCGNGGGUGUGAGUGUGUGAGUGGGUGAGUGAAUGUGUCUGUGUGUCUGUCUGCCUUGCGAUGGCUUAGAUCGUAGAACCUUGUGAUUAGACAGUACCUUUCCUGCCGCGAAAUAGCCGACGAGCUGAUGUGGCGUUAAACUCGACUACCCAACCCAACCCAAGCACCAACAUCUCCACUGAUCUGCAGUCUGAUGUUCUGCUGCCUUGUAAAUUCAACUCAAGCCUCCUCGGAUCAGAUCUGACUGCAGAUAUAGCAGCAGUGUGGAGUUAUAUAAAUAAAACAGAAGAUCCUUUUAUGGAGAUCAGUCUGAAGAGUGGAGUAAGGUUCUGGAAUAACAGAGAUGGACGAAUUAAUCUGUUCCCCAAACUCUCAACAUCUGGAAACUUCUCCAUCCUCCUCCAUAAAGUGAAUAAAUCUGAUCUGGGUCUGUACCACUGUGAACUGUUUAAUGGGACCAACUGCAGAAUCGCUUAUCAGGAAAUAUAUCUGAGACUUGAAGAGGCUGCUGCUGCUGCUGGUUCUGUGGGCUGGCUGGUCACAGCAGGAGCAGUAGGAGGAGGAGGAACUGUGCUGCUCGGUUUGGUCAUUAUCAUUUACUACUGUGCUAAACAAGAAGCAGAUGAUUACUCAGUAUAUACCACCGUCCUCUACACACUGCUAGACAACAAUAAGAAAGACGGACAACCAUAAGAAAGACGGUGUGUGAUGUCCUGAUCUUCAGCCAAUCAAGAACAGAGGACAAAUGGAGCUCCAUAUAUAUAUAUAUAUAUAUAUAUAUAUAUAUAUAUAUUGAUGGAUUCAUGCCAACAAGUUGCUCCACAGUUGCAAAGUUUUACCUGGAAUGUUGCUGAUUUCUCUGCACAGUGUUUUGUUACCUAGCAUUUUUACCCAUUUCCUGUAGUCUAUCAGCUUGAAGGUUGUGCUGAGAGCAGUGUAGUGUUGCUGUGCUAGUGGGAAAUCUUUUUGUUGCAGAGAUCUGUGCAAGCGCAGUAGCCAAAACAAAAUAAAAAAUCUCGCUUUUGUGCA
rnacentral:lncRNA from 1 species